CCUACGGGAGGCAGCAGUGAGGAAUAUUGGUCAAUGGGCGGGAGCCUGAACCAGCCAAGUCGCGUGAGGGAAGACGGUCCUAUGGAUUGUAAACCUCUUUAGGCGGGGAGCAAUGCCGGGCACGCGUGCCCGGAGGGAGAGUACCCGCAGAAUAAGCAUCGGCUAACUCCGUGCCAGCAGCCGCGGUAAUACGGGGGAUGCGAGCGUUAUCCGGAUUUAUGGGGUUAAAAGGGUGCGUAGGCGGAUUUUUAAGUCAGCGGUAAAAUGUCCGGGCUCAACCCGGGCCGGCCGUUGAAACUGGGGAUCUUGAGUGGGCGAGAGGUAUGCGGAAUGCGUGGUGUAGCGGUGAAAUGCAUAGAUAUCACGAAGAACUCCGAUUGCGAAGGCAGCAUACCGACGCCCGACUGACGCUGAGGCACGAAAGCGUGGGGAUCGAACAGGAUUAGAUACCCCAGUAGUC
rnacentral:rRNA from 1 species